GACGUCACCUCCCCGCCGUUCCCACUUCUCCUCACGGCGUCACCUCCCCGCCGUUCCCACUUCUCCUCACGGCGUCACCUCCCCGCCGUUCCCACUUCUCCUCAAUGAGUCACCUUCCCGCCGUUCCCACUUCUCCUCACGGCAUUACCUUCCCCGCCAUUUCCACUUCUCCUCACGCAUUACCUUCCCGCUGUUCCCACUUCUCUGUGGCGUUACCUUCCUGCUGUUCUGCCGUUCACGCAUGUUUCUACGUGUUUGCAUGUUUGCGUGUGUGUUUGCAUGUGUUUGCAUGUGCAUUUACAUGUCUGCAUAUGCGCAUUUCCCUGAAUCGAUUGAGGGGUCAGGACGCCUCCUCCCCACUAGCUGUGCUGACCUGGGAGCAGCAGGCUCGGCCCUCACCCCGGGUAGGACGCGCCCCCUCCUUGAUAUGCCUGCUUCAGCGAAUCACGUGUGGCCUGAGGGCUCUGCUCAAGGGCCCCAGCCAGGGAGCAGCCUGCUGGGAGGCCGACCAUGUGCCCCCACGCCUGUGGUGGACAUUGACUUCCUCCAGGCGGUGGCUGAGGGCAGCCCCAGCCAAGUCUGUGCCAGCCAAGGCUGCUGGGGGCCCUUCCUCUCCCCGUUCCCUGUUCUCCCUCCCCACCCUUCCUUCUCCCUCCCUCCUUUUCUUUUUUUGGGGUUCACCUUAGACUAAGUAAACACACUGGCCUGAAUUAUGUAAGCCCCUCUUGCAGCCUGGGCAGAUACAUUUAAAAAUAAAACUUGUCAGGUGUUGUUACCUUCCAGCCUCCUCAAAGCUGAGCUGUCCAAUCUCGGGGCUAUUUAAAGCCACACCAGCAGCAGUGCUGAUUCAGGGCCACAGGCGCAGCCUCUUGUGGGGAAGGAGCAGGGACCCUCCACUGUGCUUGGCUUCUUUCCCCACCUUCCUCUUGGCGGGGCUGGGAGUGGGCUAAUUUGGAAACACUCAGAGGGUUUAGACAUGAAUGAGUCAGGUCGAAUUUCCCCACUCAGGACAGUGAGUCCAGGCACUGCCCGGCGGUCCCAUUGGGGUUCCUGGGGGGAGGUUCAGAGCAAGGUAUGGCGGGAGCAAGACCUGGGUGUGUUGCAUCCCCAAAAGGAGCAAAAGGAGGCAGCAGGAAACCCGGAUGGCGCUGAGCAGAGGCCUGGGCGCACGUCCUGGAGGAAGAGGCAUCGUUACCGGCAGUGCCCGAGGCACAGUGCACAGAUGGGCUGGUACAGGGUCCUGGGAGCACUGCAGGACCAGGCAGGGCUCUGCUGAGCCUCACGAGAGGGAGGGCCCUGGUUCCCGCAUCCUGUCCCCCUGACUGGUGAUCUGCCAAGGGGAGCAGCCCAGGGAGGGGAGCUGGGAGCCAGGGAGCGCGGUCCUUCAUGAGUACAAAUCCAAAUCCCAGGCCGGCUCCCCAGGAACAUAGGCUGCAAGGACAGGCCACCAGCUGUUUAUUUAGGUCAGGACUCAGGGGAGGGGGAAGAUCACCCCAGGAGUGGAGCUGUCGAGCAGAGCUGUCCACCCCCUUGGUCCCUGGAUCCCCCAGGCCCUGGAGGGCCUGAUCUCAGGGAACUGACUCUGCCUGGGCUGGUGGGGCUCUGACCCCUGGCUCCUGUGCGGCCAGAGACCACCAAACACGAGUGAGGGGCAGUUUAAUUGUCUGCUGUGGUCUUAAAAACCAGGAGGCCCAGAGUCACAGCAAUCGGCCGUGCUUCUUUAGAGGCCCCCUCCCUCCGCCUCCCACAGAGCAGCCACUCCAGCACCCCUUUCAGGUUCUUCCCCAGCCCAGACCCCGCUCCCUGGCCCUCCCUCUUGCUACUGGUUCCUGACACUCACAUUCCUCCCACAGGAUCACAACUGAGACAGCACACGAGGGCCCACUGUGAGUAUCUGGGGCCCGUUUUAUGCACAAAGAGCCCGGCGCUCGCCAUCAGAUCUGUCUCCUACCUGCUCUAAGCCACGCUGCCCUCCUGCCAGGCUGGUAGGGUCUCUGGGGCUGGGCUGGGUAGACGGGGCUGCGCAGCUGGAGACGUGCCCGCUGCCCUGCCUGUGACCCCAGCCAGGUGCCCUGACUCAGGCACUGGUGGCCAGUCCCGAGGUUGCUCAGCACAGCCCCUCCCUCACUGCUGCCCCCCAGCCAUCGCUUGCCAGAGGCCGGCUUGCUGUCCUCACAGCUCUAGGAAGUCACUUCGGAGAAACUGACCUCUAAGUGGGAAAGUGACUCACUCGCCGAGGUUCAGGACGGACUCGGCGGCAAGGGCAUCUUGGAGGGAGGUCCCCAGUGCCAGGGUCCUCCUCUCAUUUCCUCCCACCCAGCACCAUGUACUGAAGUCGCCUGCCUCUUCCCUCACGUCAGGGACAGCCCCGUCCCCCAGCACCCAAGGAUGACAGUAUGUCCUGGUAGCCAGCGAGGCCCAGAUCCCACACCUGGCCACACGCACCAGCGUGGCCUCUAGGAGAGGGGUGAGGUCUCCUCCAGCUGUCCACAGUGGGCCCAGACAUAGGAUCUUCCUCUGUGGGAAGGACAGGGGGCAGCGCACCCUGGGGAGAGGGGUGAGUCACCCACAGAGAAUGAGGCCAGGCCCACUUGGGCCUGAGGGCGCAGCCUGCACCCAGCUGGGCAGGCUAGUCAGGGGCAGACUGGAUGGGAAUAGGAGCUGAGGCUGCCCUGGAGGGGUUGGAACUGUGCCCACUGGGGAUGGAUGGACACCCCUGGAGGAUGGACACCCUGGUCAGCCAGUGGCCCAGCUGAUGCCCCUGUCUGGAGGCCCAGCCCAACCCAGCACACACAAAGCCAGGCAUCAGGGCUCAGGCACAGAGCACGGCCAUGGCCAGAUGUCCCCGGGCCCCUCUGGGGAGUGUGCAGGGGCUGCCCAGGGGUGGCCUCUGGCUGCCAGGUCCUGCCUCGGUGCUGAGGACAUCAGCCCAGGUCCCCACUGCCCUUGACCCAGGGGGCUGACACCCCCCAGUGCAGAAAGAACAGCCCAAGGGGGUUGGCGGGGGCUGCUCCAUGGAGAAGGGGCUAUCUGAGCCCCUCAGGCACCCUCUGCCAGCCAUGCCUGCCCUGAGCGGCUGCCCUGCAGCACCUGGACUGUCCCUUUGGGACGGGCCUCAGUCCCUCUCCCCAGGGGAUUUGCUGUACAGCCUCACAGGGACGCCCAAGGGAUUACUAUCUUGGUAGCUGGAGGAAGAAGACACGUGUGGCAGUGGCCAUGUGGUCUUGUUGGGAGUGGCCACCUGCCCUCCUGGGAUCUCCAGGCAAGAGGCCAGGCCACAGGCCAACCAAGGACAGCCUGGCCAUCUGGCCCUAGCCAGGCUGGACCUCCUGUGUGGAUUCUGAAAUCCACCGGCUUCCCAGGGUUGUCAACCCCUGGGCUCUCGCUCCUGUGGGGAUGGGUGUUUCCCUCUCUGGAGAGAUAUUUCCAAACUCAGAGGCUGUGGUGUGGUGAUGGCCGGGGUCCUGUGGUGCUGGGCUGCACCUUCCAGAGGCGCCAGCUUCAGGCUGUGACUGGUGACGAGAAUCUAGGUCAGCCCACGCCGCUCACAGCCUCCUUCCAGCGUGGCAUCGUCCCAGCCUCAGUCCACACACAGCUCCCCCAAAACCCUGCAGCUCCAUUUCUGUUCUGGCUCCAGGUGGGCUUUGCCCCUGCCUGUGAGAUGAGACCAGAUCCUCGCUGCCCGCACCUGCCUCUCCCCGACUCACCCUGCCCGGGAGAGAUGGACACCGCCCGCACCUACCUCUCCCCCACUCACCCUGCCCGGGAGAGGUGGACGCCGCCCGCACCUGCCUCUCCCCUACUCGCCCUGCCCAGGAGAGGUGGAUACCAAGCAUGCUCUUGGCAACUCGCUGCCCACACACGGUGCGGUCCAGGCUGUGGCAUCACAGCCCUGGAGCCUGCUGGGAGUGCACAGCCCAAUAGCCACCCCAGCCCCUCUUCGAGGGCAGAUUCCCAUCGGCCUGAGCUGACUGCAGGAUGAGUACAGGGGUCCCUCCGCAGGGCAGCGCCAGGAGCUGUGGAAACGCUCUUUGCAGAGGCCCUACCCAGAUGCCCCACGGGGGUGUCCCCUGGCUGAGUCCACAGGGAGGGUCGAGGCUGCCUCGGCUGUGUCUGCGGCACGCGUCCCCGGUGCAGGCUGUGUCUCCUCACAGCCCCAACUGACUUCCUUUCCUUCCUGUAGCCUGCACUUUCACUGUCCUUACCCCGUCCUUAUCCUCAGAGACGCCUCCUGACACCCUCCUCCAGGCUCUGCCCUGGUCGGGAUGCCUCUUGGGCUGUUCUGGGCCCCAGGCUAGAGCCACUGCCUCUGUUUCUCUGGGUGAGUCCUUGCCCGGCUGCAGGAAACCUCCACAUGCUAAGAAGUCGUGCAAACUGGCCAGGCCUGGAAGGGCUGAGGCAUCCUUUAUUCCUGAUGGAUGGUUUGCGUGAGUAUAAAAUUCAAGGCUGGAAGCCAGAUUCCUGUGGAAUUUGGAAGGCCUGGCUCCACUGUCUUCCGGCUCCAGCGUUGUCAAGGCGAACUCUGACAUCCGUGCUGACUCUGAUUCCCAUGUGGGGACGGCCCUGGGGUCCUGCCGUCCUGGGACAGCACUCCAGCGCCCCUACGCUGCUUCUUGAAACGUUUCGGUCGACUUCCCACCUCCCGGGAAUUUGUUGAGAUCUUUUUUCUGUGAAUGCCAGUUCUGUCUUCCUCACGGUUGGUUAAUUCCCUUCUGCUCCUUAACUGUCAUCGCAUGGGGUUAAUGAGAGGAGAAGAGAAAACAUCUGUGGUUUCGUUUUCCUUUCUGGAUUUCGACGAUGUGGAUGCCUCCUUGGGGGAAAGGUGGGCUCGGGAUCCAGGCACAGACUGUGCGGGGGCCUCUCCAGGAGCCAGCGUAGGGGAGUCCAGCACAGCAGGGCCAGGGCCAGGUGGGGCAGAGCGAAGACACCAGGGCACCGCGGAGCCAGUGAGUUUGCUGCCUCGGCUGAGACAACGUCUCAACAAGUCAUCAGUGUUCCUCUUCUAUGAGGUCUUUCCACGGACCAGGCCAGGGUGUCAUCACCAGACCCCUCCAGUGCUGAAGGAUCUCACUGGAAAAUAGAUAUUAAUUGCUUUUC
rnacentral:lncRNA from 1 species